GACGAACGCUGGCGGCGUGCUUAACACAUGCAAGUCACGGGGGCCCGCAAGGGCAACCGGCGAACGGGUGCGUAACACGUGAGCAAGCUUCCGAUUAGUGGGGGAUAGCCGGCCCAACGGCCGGGUAAUACCGCAUACGUUCACUGGACGGCAUCGUCUGGUGAGGAAACCUCCGGGGCUAAUCGAGGCGCUCGCGGCCUAUCAGCUAGUUGGCGGGGUAACGGCCCACCAAGGCUAUGACGGGUAGCUGGUCUGAGAGGAUGGCCAGCCACAUUGGGACUGAGACACGGCCCAGACUCCUACGGGAGGCAGCAGUGGGGAAUAUUGCGCAUGGACGAAAGUCUGACGCAGCGACGCCGCGUGUGGGAUGAAGCUCUUCGGGGUGUAAACCACUGUUGCCCGGGACGAACCUCCCCUUUCGAGGGGACUGACGGUACCGGGUGAGGAAGCACCGGCUAACUCUGUGCCAGCAGCCGCUGUAACAC
rnacentral:rRNA from 1 species